CAGGCGACGUCGGUACAAGGAGAUAUGGACAUUUUAAGGCGGAAAGGUCAAGCUGGGCAGUGAAAUGGGCCCAACCCGAUUCCAAUCCGGGUCAGGCCCAUUUCCUUAUUAUUUAAGGGAGUUUUCAGCCUCCUCCUCCACAUUUCAGAUCAGAAAAGAUCCAAAAAAUUCCAUUAGAGAGAGAGAGAGAAAACUUCAAGGCUAAGAAGAUCAUUUUGAUCAAAAUCCGAGCUCCGAAUCCCGAAGCUCAUGAAGAGAAAAACGUUGUACGUUGCGUUGCCUUCAAUUUGAGAUAAAUAUUAGUCUUGGGGGAUGAAAUUUUCGUGGUGGAUCUUCUGAUAAGAUUUUGGACGAGAUUGGGAUCGACGCCAAGCGAGCGUAAGGCGCUAUCGAGGUACAGGCGCACUCGGUGACACGCCGCCAGUCUAAGGCACAGGUCCUGCUAUCUUGAAGAGCUCCUUUUGAUUCGGAGCAUGUACUUUGGUAUAUAUAUCUUUUGUUUUCCGUAUGUUCUGUAUGUAUGGAAGUUCUGGGUACGGCGGGGCCCUGUCCCGUCAUAUGAUUCUGUAUGUCUGUAGAGGCCUGUAGAUAGAUGUGUGGGUUACGGGUUUCGUCUGUAUGUUAGCCUUAUCGGCUUAUCUGUAAAUGUCUGCAUGUUCAGGUAUAUAUAUAUGUUUGCGCGCGUGCCGUAUCUGUA